UACGGAGGGUGCAAGCGUUAUCCGGAUUCACUGGGUUUAAAGGGUGCGUAGGCGGAUAGGGAAGUCCGUGGUGAAAUCCUGCAGCUUAACUGCAGAACUGCCGUGGAUACUCUCUAUCUUGAAAUAUCGUGGAGGUUAGCGGAAUAUGUCAUGUAGCGGAUGAAAUGCUUAGAGAUGACAUAGAACACCCAAUUGCGAAGGCAGCUAACUACGCGAUCAAUUGACGCUGAUGCACGAAAGCGUGGGGAUCAAACAGGAUUAGACUA
rnacentral:rRNA from 1 species